CUCCUACAAUUUUUUGUAUACCUCACUGUUCAGAAGAUAUUCACCGUCGAACUUCAAUGCACACUAUUUUUAACAGUUUUUUAAAAACUGUGAAAGUU
rnacentral:lncRNA from 1 species